rnacentral:rRNA from 1 species
GAGUUUGAUCUUGGCUCAGGACGAACGCUGGCGGCGUGCUUAACACAUGCAAGUCGAACGGAGCACCCCAGAAGGAGUUUUCGGACAACGGAUGGGAAUGCUUAGUGGCGGACUGGUGAGUAACGCGUGAGGAACCUGCCUUCCAGAGGGGGACAACAGUUGGAAACGACUGCUAAUACCGCAUGACGCAUUGGUGUCGCAUGGCACUGAUGUCAAAGAUUUAUCGCUGGAAGAUGGCCUCGCGUCUGAUUAGCUAGUUGGUGAGGUAACGGCCCACCAAGGCGACGAUCAGUAGCCGGACUGAGAGGUUGGCCGGCCACAUUGGGACUGAGAUACGGCCCAGACUCCUACGGGAGGCAGCAGUGGGGAAUAUUGGGCAAUGGACGCAAGUCUGACCCAGCAACGCCGCGUGAAGGAAGAAGGCUUUCGGGUUGUAAACUUCUUUAAGGGGAGAGCAGAAGACGGUACCCUUGAAUAAGCCACGGCUAACUACGUGCCAGCAGCAGCCG